GAUGAAGAAACGCAGCGAAAUGCGAUACGUAGUGUGAAUUGCAGAAUUCCGUGAACCAUCGAAUCUUUGAACGCACAUUGCGCUCGAGGCUUCGGCCAAGAGCAUGUCUGCCUCAGCGUCGUUUUAUACCCUCGCUCCCCACCUUAUAUGGUGUCGGUCCAAUGCUUCGCGCUUGGGCCUUGGGAGCGGAUCUGGCUCUCCCAAUGCGGCUUUGCUGCUCGGAUUGGGUUAGCUGAAGCACAGAGGCUUGAGCAUGGACCCGAUAUGGGCAUCAACUGGAUAGGUAGCGCCAGCUUCGGCUGUCUACACGAAGUUGUUGUCUGUGGACCUUGCUGGAGGCCAGUCGAACGUGCGUUGUUGCACGUUCACCUCUUUAUACUUCGACCUGAGCUCAGGCAAGGCUACCCGCUGAACUUAAGCAUAUCAAUAAGCGGAGGA
rnacentral:misc_RNA from 1 species